rnacentral:rRNA from 1 species
AUGGGGAAGAAGAUUGCAGCGAAGAAAUCCCGAGGAUGCAAGACAGCAGGUCCACAAUCCUAUGAGGAGCCAAGGGAAAGGGGGGCCCAAUUUGGGGAAAGGCUCAAGAAAGAGUAUUUUGAUCCUCAUGCACCCCAUUUGGUGAGGAGAACUUCUCUGGUCCCCUCGAUGACUGAUGACCAGUGGAACGAGCUGGUGGAAAGCUGGAAGGAUCCCAAAAAGAUGGGGAUAUCUCAAAUUAACAAAGCUAAUCGAGCUCAAGUUAAGUUCCACCAAACUACUGGAGCGCGUAGCUACCCUGUGCACUGUGGAAAUCUGACCGAGAUGGAAAAUAAGGUUCCUAAUCCUACAGAAGAUGGUCAUGAAUCGAGCUCUACAACUGAGGCAGCAACCGAAGCUGUAGCUGAAGUACUUGCUAAGCACACUAAGAAGCCAAUGUUUCUUCAGCAUGUGGGGAUCCAACACGUCCAUGCGAGAUCCAGUGCUAUCAACUGUGAAGUAGAAUUGGCAGCGCAGAAGAUGAAUGUUGAGCUUCGGGCGCGUGUUGACACCUUGACCAAGAAGUUGAAGGAAUCUGAAGAAGAAAGGGCCAGGCAAGAUGAGGAGUACAAGAAGCGAGAUGAGGAGAACAGGAAGAAGCAAGCUGAGAUGGAUGCAAAACUAGACUUAUUGCUAAGUCAGAUGCCGUCAAGAUCAGCUGAAGGGUAA